CUGAACUCCGACAGCUGUCUGUACAUCAGGUCUUCAUUGUUACAGUGGACAUCUAUUUGGAGGGAACAAGAGGAGCAGGCAGUAAAAGAACCCAUAACUCAUACAACCAUUGGUCAUGGGCAUCAAUCUAUGCACUUAGAAAGAGGUGCACUAAAUACCUCACCCUCUGUGUUUUUAAGAAUAUGAAUAGAUAUUUGUGAACCUAAAAAAAAAAAAUAAUAAAUGACACUUAUUACUUUA